GAAUUUAAUCAAUAUUAGCUAAGGCGCGUCUGCGUCAUGGAGCUAUAGCUUGAGGUCACUUCUGCAGAUGGGCUCCGUGGCCUAGCGUCCCCGUCCGCGCCACCUGUGAUCGUGCGCCGAGGACCACGAGGGGUCGCCGCCGAGGUUUCCACCAGCCCAAGCAAGAUCAUGGCAGCCAUCCCCUCCAGCGGCUCGCUCGUGGCCACCCACGACUACUACCGGCGCUGCCUGGGCUCCACUUCCAGUAACAGCUCCUGCCGAAGAGCGGAGUACCCUGGGGAAGCCAUCCCCCACCGCCUGGGUGUCCCCAAAGCCGACCUAGGACUCUGGUGGGCUAGCUUCUUUUUCGGGAAGUCCACUCUCCCAUUCAUGGCCACAGUGUUGGAGUCCCCAGAGCACUUGGAAUCGCCCCAGACCUCCACCAGCACGAUCACCUGUG